CGAGCCGCGAGCAACUGAUUAGUGCGAAACUGCCAACGAAACAGGCAAGAUCGUUACUGCUAGCUAUGGACAAGAAGCCAUCGCAACCGCCACCUCCACAAACGCCGCCACCACAACAAACGACGCAAAAGCCACAACCACAACCUCAGCAACUACCGCAGCAGCAGCAACCGCCGCAGAAAGUUAAAAAUGAAAUUUAUGUUGAUAAAAAAACAGGGGGCUUGAUUUUCAGAAAGGGUCGACCCGCAAACUAAAAGCCGCUCUAAAGGUGGGUGUCGCAUGACUCUGAAGAAAGUAAUAUGUGAACAAUUAAAUAUUUAUCCUGAGUAUAUGUCAUUUGUGUGGUGAACAGUUAGAAUUAAAUACUUAUCAUGAGUAUAUGCCAUUUGUGUGGUGAAUUUAUCCUACUACCUUCUUUUCCUAUUUAUUUGAAGAAAUAGUAGGCUGUGUUUCCUUUCCUGUAUUGUACACCUACAUUAAUUAUAUUAAAGUCAAUAAAUAUUACUGUUGAGCCUA